CUAAUACAUGCAAGUCGAGCGCGACUGAUUGCACCGUCCUUAUGGACACCGUAAUCAUCGAGCGGCGGACGGGUGAGUAACACGUGGGCAACCUACCUGUAAGACUGGGAUAACUCCGGGAAACCGGGGCUAAUACCGGAUGAUACAUAUCGUCGCAUGACGAGAUGUUGAAAGGCGGCAUAUGCUGUCACUUACAGAUGGGCCCGCGGCGCAUUAGCUAGUUGGUGAGAUAAAAGCUCACCAAGGCGACGAUGCGUAGCCGACCUGAGAGGGUGAUCGGCCACACUGGGACUGAGACACGGCCCAGACUCCUACGGGAGGCAGCAGUAGGGAAUCUUCCACAAUGGGUGCAAACCUGAUGGAGCAAUGCCUCGUGAAUGAAGAAGGUCUUCGGAUCGUAAAGUUCUGUUAUUAGAGAAGAACAAGUCAAGGAGUAACUGUCUUGACUUUGACGGUACCUGACCAGAAAGUCACGGCUAACUACGUGCCAGCGGCCGCGGUAAUACGUAGGUGACAAGCGUUGUCCGGAAUUAUUGGGCGUAAAGGGAGCGCAGGCGGUUGGAAUAGUCUGAUGUGAAAGCCCACGGCUUAACCGUGGAAGGUCAUUGGAAACUGUCCAACUUGAAUGCAGAAGAGGUAAGUGGAAUUCCAUGUGUAGCGGUGAAAUGCGUAGAUAUAUGGAGGAACACCAGGUGGGCAGAAGGCGAAC
rnacentral:rRNA from 1 species